GUUCGGGUCCGCGCUGCUUUAGUAGUACCCAUUUAAUAAAUACAACCUUCCCCCCUUUUAGGCCCGGACAACAAAUGUUGAAAAAAAGUAUCUACAAAAUGACUGAAGUCAAAAUAUUACACAACGACUUUUCAUGUUAAACCUUUGAAAGAAAUAAAGAGUGAAAUCAGAAAAUUUGAGAAAAAGGGAAUUUAGAAAACUGUUAGCCAUCAAGUUUUCCUUUCACACGUACAAAUACACGCACGCACACACACACACAUAUAGCUUCUUGUGUGCACGGGUACACAUACAUUUUUCCAUAUCUAUUAGCAAUGCUUUAUUACAGUACCUCUCCCUUUCUAUCUAUCUAUCUAUCUAUCUCCCAUUUUGUUUCCCUUCUCUGUCUCAGCGCCAUUAUCCACAUACACACAUACAUUCUCACUCACACAUACACAGAGUGGUUGAACCGAGUGGCAGACGACCAUUGAAUUUGUUUUCCAGUUUUGUUGAAUUUCUGCCGCACAGUUUUUAAUUCAAGAUAAGAAAGUUUUCAUUCCAUUAUUUCAAGAGCACAGUUAUUGCAUGAAAUAUUCACCAGAAACGAAUAAGGACCCCAGGAGCUGAUUGGUCUUUUAUUGACAACAGAAGGAUGAACAGUGAGGCCAAACCCUGCAGAAUUUCCACUCAGAACAGAAAGGGUUACAACGAAA